UGAACGCUGGCGGCGUGCCUAAUACAUGCAAGUCGAACGCUGGAGAUCUAGCUUGCUAGAUCGAAGGAGUGGCGAACGGGUGAGUAAUACAUAAGCAACCUACCCACGAAGACUGGGAUAAUCUCUGGAAACGGGGACUAAUACCGGAUAGGUAAUCGGAAGGCAUCUUCUGGUUAUUAAAGGUUAAAAACACUGGUGGAUGGGCUUAUGGCGCAUUAGUUAGUUGGUGAGGUAACGGCCCACCAAGACGAUGAUGCGUAGCCGGCCUGAGAGGGUGAACGGCCACAUUGGGACUGAGACACGGCCCAGACUCCUACGGGAGGCAGCAGUAGGGAAUUUUCAGCAAUGGGGGCAACCCUGACCGAGCAACGCCGCGUGAGUGAAGACGGCCUUCGGGUUGUAAAGCUCUGUUGUAAGGGAAGAACGGUAGAUAGAGAAUAUCUAAGUGACGGUACCUUACCAGAAAGCCACGGCUAACUACGUG
rnacentral:rRNA from 1 species